rnacentral:pre_miRNA from 1 species
GGCCUCCCUCUGCGGGGCAAUUGAUUGUGGGGCUCCAUGAUUGAUAGCUCUGCGGAGGGAGGCC